GACCUAGUGGUGAAUGGAUCACACCUGCUCUCCUUAAGCCUUCUUUCGUCACAUUGAAGCAGAAAGCCCCGGUUCGAUUCCGGGCUGGGCCA